AAAAAGACAAACCCUGGUUUCCGUGUUGAACGUUUGACCGUUCGUCUUAUUUAAAAAAAAUAUGAAAAAAUUAAAAAGACAAGUCACACAUAAAAUAUUAAUCAUGUUUUAUCAUCUAACAACAAUGAAAAUACGAAUUAUAAAAAAAUUUCAUAUAAGACUGACAGUCAAAGUUGGACACGGAAACCUAGGGUUUGCCUUUUU
rnacentral:pre_miRNA from 1 species